GUAGGGUGCGAGCGUUGUCCGGAAUUAUUGGGCGUAAAGAGCUCGUAGGCGGUUUGUCGCGUCGACUGUGAAAACCCGAGGCUUAACCUCGGGCCUGCAGUCGAUACGGGCAGACUAGGGUUCGGUAGGGGAGACUGGAAUUCCUGGUGUAGCGGUGAAAUGCGCAGAUAUCAGGAGGAACACCGGUGGCGAAGGCGGGUCUCUGGGCCGAUACUGACGCUGAGGAGCGAAAGCGUGGGGAGCGAACAGGAUUAGAUACCCUGGUAGUCCACGCCGUAAACGUUGGGCGCUAGGUGUGUGGAUCUUUCCACGAUCUCCGUGCCGCAGCUAACGCAUUAAGCGCCCCGCCUGGGGAGUACGGCCGCAAGGCUA
rnacentral:rRNA from 1 species